CAAAAUAUACCAGAUCUGGUCUCUCUUCGUCUGAUUUUCCUAAAUCGAAAUUGAAGCUAACAGCGAAAUUGGGAGGUUUUCUUUCACUCACGUUAGAAAGGUAAGGUCUAAAUCGCUAAAAAUUUGACGAUUUUUACGAAUUAUAAAUUUAUUUGAGAUUUUCUUUGACGAAACUAGUACAUUUUUUUUUGGUACAACGAAAUUGGUCUGUUUUUUUUAAGCCAAUGUAAUUGGGUACGAAUUUGAUGCAUUCUUUGGAUUUUUUUGAAUUCCACAAACCGUAACAAUAGAUGCUUGGAUUUUUUUGAAGUAAUGAGUCAUGAAAUACAUGGCUGCCUCUUAAGAUCUUCAGUUCAAGGAAAAGUAAAAUGAUUCAUGGAAAAGUAAAAUGAUUUUUUUGAACUAAUGAGUCAUGGAUGCUUGGAUUUUUUUGUAUUUCACUCGCUAAGUUUAUAAAUGAUGCUAAACCAAUAUGUCAAAACAUUAUUUAGUGGACAUCAGGAUAUCAUUCACAUGGCACUUUUAUGUAACUUUUAGAUAAAUUCUGUCCAUUUGGAAAAGGCAUUUGUAUAGGAUAUAACAGAAAUCAUGCUUCAAACAAAUUCUUUGAAAACAAGGUUCAAAUUGUGAUAUUUUUUGGGUGUUCUCUAUGUUAGCAGGCAGGCGUAUCAUGUUAACAUUCUAAUAUUGAUAAUUAUGCUCUGUUCUCUUUUUUUUAUUGUCUGGCUGCUACCAAAUAUUUGACUUGGAUCGAUGUAUUUUGUGCCAAGGAUUUAAUUAUUCUCUAAAACUGUUAUUGUUCCAAUUCACUUUGCUAUCCUAUUGGUGAAUUUAGUGUUCAUCCUAUGCUUAACUGUUAUUGUUCCAAUCCACUUUGCUUCUUUGCUUUUCUGCCCCUUUGCUUAAGUGUUUAUCCUAUGGUGAAUUUAGUGUUCAUCCUAUGCUUAACUGUUAUUGUUCCAAUGCUUAACUGUUAUUGUUCAUUUAACUGCUGCUGUUGCAUUUAACCAUUUGUGUAUAAUGUUUAACUAUUUUUGUUCAUGUGUAAUGAUAUGUGGGUUACCAACUGUGGAAUGUAUCUAAAACAUUGCAAUCUUAUGGUGGUUUUGACAGAUAAGGUUCAACAAAGGCAUGUCUACUUCAAGUAACAUGAGCAUUCAAACUCAUGAUAUACGAUUUCGAAACAAAAUGUGUUACUGUCGUCUGAGAGCUGCUGUGAAAAUAUCUGAAUCAGAGAAGAAUCCUGGAAGGCUCUACUAUGACUGUCCAAGGGAGAAGGACAAAG
rnacentral:lncRNA from 1 species